rnacentral:rRNA from 1 species
GAUGAACGCUGGCGGCGUGCCUAAUACAUGCAAGUCGAGCGAACAGACGAGGAGCUUGCUCCUCUGACGUUAGCGGCGGACGGGUGAGUAACACGUGGAUAACCUACCUAUAAGACUGGGAUAACUGCGGGAAACCGGAGCUAAUACCGGAUAAUAUAUUGAACCGCAUGGUUCAAUAGUGAAAGACGGUUUUGCUGUCACUUAUAGAUGGAUCCGCGCCGCAUUAGCUAGUUGGUAAGGUAACGGCUUACCAAGGCAACGAUGCGUAGCCGACCUGAGAGGGUGAUCGGCCACACUGGAACUGAGACACGGUCCAGACUCCUACGGGAGGCAGCAGUAGGGAAUCUUCCGCAAUGGGCGAAAUCCUGACGGAGCAACGCCGCGUGAGUGAUGAAGGUCUUCGGAUCGUAAAACUCUGUUAUUAGGGAAGAACAAAUGUGUAAGUAACUAUGCACGUCUUGACGGUACCUAAUCAGAAAGCCACGGCUAACUACGUG